GGGUGGAGCAGGAGGCGGGGCUCGGGAGUGGGGGUCCCAGCUGAGCCCGGGGUCUCGCGGCUGGAGCCGCCCGGGGUGGAGCCCGGGGCGGAGCCGGAGAGGCCGGGCCGCGUCUGCAAGGGUCGAGACUGGGGAGGGUGGGAGAGACGUGAGCCCCGAGCUGCGGGCGGGGGCAGGGCGGGGGCAGGGCGGGGGCGGGUCCGAGCCCCGCGGGCCCACCCCCUCGGGGCUCCCGAGCUGGGGGUCCCGGCGAGGCCGCGGCGGAGGGGGCGGGGCUGGCGGCCCGGAGCCUCCCCGGGGACCCCGGGCCCGCCCGAGCGCCGCGGCGGGGCGCCUCCCGCGAGGAGGCCCCGCUCCGGGCUCAGGCCCCGGCCCCGGCCCCGGCCCCGGCCCCGGCCCCCGCAGGCCGACCAGAAAAAACCCCGUCUGUGCUUCCCGGAGAGGAGACCGGAGCGGCGGCUGCGUCCCGGGCGACGUGCCCGGGCCCCGACGUCCGAGUCCCCCGGCCCCGUCCCCUGCACACGCCCCCCCGCCGCCGGCGACCCGGGCGCGGCCCCUAGCGGAGCGUCCCGGGGCAGGGGCAGCGGGCUGGGCUCGGCGGCGCGGCGGCGCGGCGGCUCGGCCCGGGCGGGGGCGGCGCGGGGGGCGGGGGCGAGGCCCGGGAGCGCGCGGGGAGGGAAGCGGCGCCCGGCCGCGGGGGCAGGGGGAGCGGCAGACGCCGAGGCGAGGGACGCGCGCGGCGGGCGGCGGCUCCGAGCGGCGGCCGGGCGGGGGGCGCUGGAGGCCGGGCCGGCCGGAGGGCAUCCCGAGAGCCCCAUGAGGUGCCCCCGGGGCCGCGGACGGGGCGCUGUCCUGGGGAGGCUGUCGGGGGGUCCCCGACACCCAUGGCUGGGCGGGGGCCGCGGCGGCGCGCUCGGAGUAAGUCGGGGUCGGGGCGGGCGCGGGCGCGGGCGCGGGCGCGGGGGCGGGGGCGGGCGCGGGGGCGGCGUUGGGUUCGGGGCGGCUCCGGGCCUGGCCGGGCCCCGGGCGCGCUGCUCCGUCUCGGUGUCGGUCGGCGGCGCCUCCUCGGAGCCCGGUGGAGCCGCCAGCCCCGUGCCGCUCGGCUCCGUGGCUUUUUUGGAAACUUGCAAAUGUUUUCGUAGAGAGAGAGAGAGAGAGAAGGGGGAGGGGAGGGAGGGAGGGAGCGAGGGAGUGACCGACACGGAGCUCGGGGCUGCUGCAAGAACGGAGGCCAAGGCUGGGGGAGCUGGAGACGGACGGACAGGCCGACAGGCAGAGCGUCCCGGCCGCGGGCGUGCUCCGGCGGCGCGGGCGGGGGCGGGGGCGCGGGCGGGGGCGCGGGCGCGGGCGGGGCCCCGGCCCGGGAUGCGGAGAGGGCUCGGGAGGCAGCCGCAGGCACGAUGGGGAUCCGAGGGGGGCUAA
rnacentral:lncRNA from 1 species